CUUCAAGGACGGCCUUGAACGCGCGUGCACCCGGGGACGGCCCCG
rnacentral:ncRNA from 1 species